CAGGCAGGCGGGCUCUCUGUGUUCCCUCCCAGCCCUGGUGACAGCUCUGGGCCUGGCUCCCUGCUCCUCCUUCCCGAAUGAGCCGCCGGCAGCUGGCAGAAGACUGAAAUAGCAGUUGGGGGAGGGCCCUGUCUAUAAAUAGGUGGAGCAUGCUCAGGGAGCCGCCGGCCGGCUGCCAGCCCUGGCGGAGGCCCCGUGGGGCGGUGGGGGGGCGUGUUCCACCCCAGGAGGAAGCGCCAGGCAGGGGGAUGGGAACAAGGGAGGGCCUGCCCUCAGGGCCAAGGCCACAGAGCCGGGUGGCCAGGGACUGGGCUGAGGAAGGGCACAGGCCGGAGUAUCAAAGUGUCUGGGAGCAGCUCUGGCGCUCUUCUUGGCAGGCGAGGGGCUGGAUUCCAUCCUCUAUCUUCCCUGUCACCAUCCACAGCAGGUUAAACGAAAGGAAGGGCAGAGGCAGGAGGAUCUGGGAAAGAACCGCAACCACUGCAGAUGGGGGUUCAUCAGGCAAAGCUCACUUGGAGAAAGUCACUGCUGAAUGUUAUAUAAGGGUCUUGGUGGACAGUCAGGGACCAAUAGCUGUGUGGCGCCGGGAUGACCGAACACUUGGAUUCCAAACCAGUGAGCAGCCUGGCUUCCAUGAAGUCAUAAGUAAGCAGAACCCAGGCCCUCCCCCUGCCCCUGUCAAGUCUCUCUUCCAGACAGACCUCUGUCCCACUCCAGAACCCAUACCCACCUCCCACCUCAAGCCUGGAUGGCAGGGCAAAGAAUGAGGGAAACCAGCUGCCUCUCACCCCGCAAGUUCAUGGCUAAGCCAGAGAAGAUAGGGCAAACCCUAGGGGGACACUCCCCACCCCAUUUAUGAGCAAUAAAAACUCUGUCAGAGGCUGGGAGGAGAAGGGCAGACAAGUGAGGGAGACAUGAAUCAAUGUAAUGCCCCAAAGGCCACAAGUUCACAAUGCUGCCCUGCGGGGCAACUCCCUCAGAAUUCCUGGGGUGUUGGGUGUCCCUUCGAGGGCCUCUCUGGAACCUUGGCUCCAGCACUACCGGGCAGGCCUCUCCCAACACACCAGCUAGAGGCAGGCCCAAGUCCUAAGCACUGUGGCCAGAGUCCCCUCCCUAGUUACAAGUGGCCAGGUGAGCUCUCUAGACCAAAUCUCAUGAACCUGAGAUUGCCCACCAUCUGAGAUCUACCCCGAAGACUUCAUCUGAAAGCUACACGCCCAGACAAUCCAUCCCAGUGUACAAACGACUUCUCAUCUGGACAUCUCCUGACCAUGGGCAUGGCAGUCCACUUUUCCCAGCCUCCAACAGCUUCCAUCACGUGUGUCUUCCCCAAACUGGGCCACCAGAAGCCCAGGAUUGUAAGCCAUGAGGGGAGGCCAACUUGGAUGUCCAGACCCCAAACUAAGGGAAGCGGGAGGACAACAGGGGAGAAAAAAAGGCACCAGGCUGACAAAUUCAUUUUUGCAAUCGGCCCAUUUCUGUUUGUCUGCUCAGACGCAGCUCCAGGCAUCUGCACAAGCCAGAUGGAGGAGGCUGCUAUUUCUAGAAAAAAAGGGGGGGGGGCAGUGAUGAGAGGAGAGGGAGGUAGAAGGCGGAGGCACAGGGCAGAAGACCGGGUCUGUUUGCCCUAAAACCUCAGGCAGAUUGUUACCCCCUCCCCAGCACUAGGAGACAGGGUCCCCAUUCAAGAAAGGGCUGGGGCAGGGGCUAGGGUGAGGUGGGAUGGAGGAAAAGAACGGCAGAGAAAGUUUAAUUAGCCAAAGUCAGCUACAAUAGGCCCCCUCAAAGGCUGCAUCAGGUUUUCAUUCAUGAGCAAGCGACAGUGCUCCAAAAAUGCCAAGAGCCGCCCCCCUGGCAGU